rnacentral:rRNA from 1 species
GACGAACGCUGGCGGCGUGCUUAACACAUGCAAGUCGAACGAAGAGCGAUGGAAGCUUGCUUCUAUCAAUCUUAGUGGCGAACGGGUGAGUAACGCGUAAUCAACCUGCCCUUCAGAGGGGGACAACAGUUGGAAACGACUGCUAAUACCGCAUACGAUCUAACCUCGGCAUCGAGGAUAGAUGAAAGGUGGCCUCUACAUGUAAGCUAUCACUGAAGGAGGGGAUUGCGUCUGAUUAGCUAGUGGGAGGGGUAACGGCCCACCAAGGCGAUGAUCAGUAGCCGGUCUGAGAGGAUGAACGGCCACAUUGGGACUGAGACACGGCCCAGACUCCUACGGGAGGCAGCAGUGGGGAAUCUUCCGCAAUGGACGAAAGUCUGACGGAGCAACGCCGCGGGAGUGAUGACGGCCUUCGGGUUGUAAAGCUCUGUUAAUCGGGACGAAAGGCCUUCUUGCGAAUAGUUAGAAGGAUUGACGGUACCGGAAUAGAAAGCCACGGCUAACUACGUG